AUUGAACGCUGGCGGCAUGCCUUACACAUGCAAGUCGAACGGCAGCACGGGAGCAAUCCUGGUGGCGAGUGGCGAACGGGUGAGUAAUGUAUCGGAACGUGCCCAGUCGUGGGGGAUAACGUAGCGAAAGCUACGCUAAUACCGCAUACGAUCUGUGGAUGAAAGCGGGGGACCGUAAGGCCUCGCGCGAUUGGAGCGGCCGAUAUCAGAUUAGGUAGUUGGUGGGGUAAAAGCCUACCAAGCCGACGAUCUGUAGCUGGUCUGAGAGGACGACCAGCCACACUGGGACUGAGACACGGCCCAGACUCCUACGGGAGGCAGCAGUGGGGAAUUUUGGACAAUGGGCGCAAGCCUGAUCCAGCAAUGCCGCGUGCAGGAUGAAGGCCUUCGGGUUGUAAACUGCUUUUGUACGGAGCGAAAAGGCUCUCUCUAAUACAGGGGGCUCAUGACGGUACCGUAAGAAUAAGCACCGGCUAACUACGUGCCAGCCGCCGCAGUAACAC
rnacentral:rRNA from 1 species